rnacentral:rRNA from 1 species
AGAGUUUGAUCAUGGCUCAGGAUGAACGCUGGCGGCGUGCCUAACACAUGCAAGUCGAACGGACCUUUACAGACUGCGAUUCGUCAAAGGAAGUUUAAGGUUAGUGGCGGACGGGUGGGUAACGCGUGGGUAACCUGCCUCGUAGAGGGGGAUAACAGUUGGAAACGAUUGCUAAUACCGCAUAAGCCCACAGGACCGCAUGGUCCAGGGGGAAAAGAUUCAUCGCUACGAGAUGGACCCGCGUUUGAUUAGUUAGUUGGCGGUGUAACGGACCACCAAGACGACGAUCAAUAGCCGGACUGAGAGGUUGAACGGCCACAUUGGGACUGAGACACGGCCCAAACUCCUACGGGAGGCAGCAGUGGGGAAUAUUGCACAAUGGGGGGAAAAACCCCCUGAUGCAGCGACGCCGCGUGGGUGAAGAAGUUUUUCGGAAUGUAAGGCCCUAUCAGCAGGGAAGAAAUGACGGUACCUGACUAAGAAGCCCCGGCUAACUACGUGCCAGCCGCCGC